rnacentral:rRNA from 1 species
UCGAGCGCUCGUAGCAAUACGAGAGCGGCAGACGGGAGAGUAACACGUGGGAACGUACCCUUCGGUUCGGAAUAACCCAGGGAAACUUGGGCUAAUACCGGAUACGUCCGCGAGGAGAAAGAUUCAUCGCCGGAGGAUCGGCCCGCGUCCGAUUAGCUAGUUGGUGAGGUAAUGGCUCACCAAGGCGACGAUCGGUAGCUGGUCUGAGAGGAUGAUCAGCCUCACUGGGACUGAGACACGGCCCAGACUCCUACGGGAGGCAGCAGUGGGGAAUAUUGGACAAUGGGCGCAAGCCUGAUCCAGCCAUGCCGCGUGGGUGAUGAAGGCCUUAGGGUUGUAAAGCCCUUUCGGCGGGGAAGAUAAUGACGGUACCCGCAGAAGAAGCCCCGGCUAACUUCGUGCCAGCAGCCGCGGUAAUACGAAGGGGGCUAGCGUUGCUCGGAAUCACUGGGCGUAAAGCGCACGUAGGCGGGUCCUUAAGUCAGGGGUGAAAUCCUGGAGCUCAACUCCA